GGCUUUUGGGAGGCAGAUUUUAUUUACCGUGCCCGAGGAAAAACUUCUAAUGAUAGGAUUUCCAACACAAGCAUUUGGCAGAGGAGCGCUCAGCGCCUGUAGGGGAAAGCAAACUGGUUUGUGGUGUGAAAGGGCAUGACAGGAAGGGGAUGACACGCAGGAAAGUGCUGCAGGCUGGGAUCGAACUCAGGGUCGCCAUAGCAAGAACACUGCCCCUGCAAAUGGGAUGCCUGCCCCACCCACAAAGCCACCAGGCGCCUCAACUCUGAGUCAUUUUAAAGCACUGGAGCUGCAAGUGUGGCCAACUCCUGACGAGCGGCAGGAUUAACAGCACAAAAAUAAACCACACUACCUUCAGGGCAGGGCA